UGGCUCUCGCAUCGAUGAAGAACGCAGCGAAAUGCGAUAAGUAAUGUGAAUUGCAGAAUUCAGUGGAUCAUCGAAUCUUUGAACGCACCUUGCGCUCCUUGGUAUUCCGAGGAGCAUGCCUGUUUGAGUGUCAUUAAAUUCUCAACCUCUCUAGUUUGUAUAAACUAGUAGAUGGCUUGGAUGUGGGGGUGCUUUGCAGGCUUUCACAAGUCAGCUCCCCUUAAAUGUAUUAGCCGGUUCUCUCUGACCGUCUAUCAGUGUGAUAAUUAUCUACGCUGUAGACUUUGGAGAUUGUACUGCUUAUAACCGUCCUGUACAGGACAAUAUAUGACAUUUUGACCUCAAAUCAGGUAGGACUACCCGCUGA
rnacentral:misc_RNA from 1 species